AUUGAACGCUGGCGGCAGGCCUAACACAUGCAAGUCGAACGAGUGGCGGACGGGUGAGUAAUGUCUGGGAAACUGCCUGAUGGAGGGGGAUAACUACUGGAAACGGUAGCUAAUACCGCAUACCAUCAGAUUGGCCCAGCUGGGAAUAGCUAGCUGGUGGGGUAACAGAUCACCAAGGCGACGAUCCCUAGCUGGUCUGAGAGGAUGAACAGCGACACUGGAACUGAGACACGGUCCAGACUCCUACGGGAGGGAGCAGUGGGGAAUAUUGCACAAUGGGCGCAAGCCUGAUGCAGCCAUGCCGCGUGUAUUAAGAAGGCCUUCGGGUUGUAAAGUACUGUCAGCGGGGAGGCGUUACCCGCAGAAGAAGCACCGGCUAACUCCGUGCCAGCAGCCGCGGUAAUUC
rnacentral:rRNA from 1 species